CUAGUUAGUGCUGCUGAGAGGCGCGCUAUAUGAUUCAAUCGCUGCUCUCUUGUGGAGCGGACGACAGAUUCUCGCUGGAAGUCGUUGCCCGACUACCCGGUGGGAUGGCAACCCUGCUUGCUGUAUUGCAGCGAGUUACGGUAGCAAAAUGUCUCUUUUUAACUUUUGAGUGUUGCAGACGCUGGGCAACGGCGUCACUGUCUGCUGGCACGAAUGGGUAGCUGCUUAGUCAGUGUGCCCGACAGUGCUACUAAAAGCAGGCAGAGUUCUCACUUUAUUCAUGAUGUCAUGUUGCACUAAUAAGUCAACCGAGCCCAUUUAGCUCAGUUAACAAAAUGAU
rnacentral:misc_RNA from 1 species